UACGUAGGGACCAAGCGUUGUUCGGAUUUACUGGGCGUAAAGGGCGCGUAGGCGGCAAUUCAAGUCAGCUGUGAAAUCUCCGGGCUUAACUCGGAAAGGUCAACUGAUACUGUGCGACUAGAGUGCAGAAGGGGCAACUGGAAUUCUCGGUGUAGCGGUGAAAUGCGUAGAUAUCGAGAGGAACACCUGCGGCGAAGGCGGGUUGCUGGGCUGACACUGACGCUGAUGCGCGAAAGGCAGGGGAGCGAACGGG
rnacentral:rRNA from 1 species